CCUACGGGAGGCAGCAGUGAGGAAUAUUGGACAAUGGAGGCAACUCUGAUCCAGCCAUGCCGCGUGCAGGAAGACGGCCCUACGGGUUGUAAACUGCUUUUAUACAGGAAGAAUUAUACCUACGUGUAGGUAUUUGACGGUACUGUAAGAAUAAGGAUCGGCUAACUCCGUGCCAGCAGCCGCGGUAAUACGGAGGAUCCAAGCGUUAUCCGGAAUUAUUGGGUUUAAAGGGUCCGUAGGCGGUUUUUUAAGUCAGAGGUGAAAUCCUGCAGCUCAACUGUAGCAUUGCCUUUGAUACUGAAAGACUUGAGUUAUUGUGAAGUAGUUAGAAUGUGUAGUGUAGCGGUGAAAUGCAUAGAUAUUACACAGAAUACCGAUUGCGAAAGCAGAUUACUAACAAUAUACUGACGCUGAGGGACGAAAGCGUGGGUAGCGAACAGGAUUAGAUACCCUGGUAGUCCACGCCGUAAACGAUGGAUACUAGCUGUUCGAUCAACACUGGUUGAUUGAGUGGUUAAGCGAAAGUGAUAAGUAUCCCACCUGGGGAGUACGCUCGCAAGAGUGAAACUCAAAUGAAUUGACGG
rnacentral:rRNA from 1 species